UACGGCCAUAACACAUUGAAACACCGGUUCUCGUCCGAGCACCGAAGUUAAGCAACGUUUGGCCUGGUCGGUACCUAGAUGGGUGACCGCUUGAGAAUAUCAGGUGCUUC